AGAAAAAUUUUCCAGAAAAAUGUUGUCUUUCCCUGUUUUGAAGUCUGCAAUGAAGAAUACUAUUUUAGCAAAGACUUAUACUGGGAAGGAACCAGACGUGGGUGAUGAAAAAGACACCCUGGAAAGAAUAAUUUAUACAUAAGAUGCAAAAUGCAGAACCCUGCUUUUUCAACUGUUGAGAGGGGAGUCCUAACAAGAGGAAGUAGCCUUGUAUGCUGUCCGCACUUCCUUCCUGUGGCUGUGUCAUUCCUGAGUCUGGGUCAUCCAGCUGCAUCCAGGAGUCUCAAAGGAUGCCGUGAAAAUGAGUCCAGGUCAUGACCUCUUCAAAGCCAUAUCUUCUAGCUUUGAGUUGUAUUAAAAUUAAUCAGAAA